GUGGACAUAGCUCAGUUGGUAGAGCCCUGGAUUGUGGUUCCAGUUGUCACGGGUUCGAGCCCCGUUGUCCACC
rnacentral:tRNA from 1 species